rnacentral:rRNA from 1 species
AACGAACGCUGGCGGCAUGCCUAACACAUGCAAGUCGAGCGGAUGAGUGGAGCUUGCUCCAUGAUUCAGCGACGGACGGGUGAGUAAUGCCUAGGAAUCUGCCUGGUAGUGGGGGACAACGUUUCGAAAGGAACGCUAAUACCGCAUACGUCCUACGGGAGAAAGUGGGGGAUCUUCGGACCUCACGCUAUCAGAUGAGCCUGGGUCGGAUUAGCUAGUUGGUGAGGUAAAGGCUCACCAAGGCGACGAUCCGUAACUGGUCUGAGAGGAUGAUCAGUCACACUGGAACUGAGACACGGUCCAGACUCCUACGGGAGGCAGCAGUGGGGAAUAUUGGACAAUGGGCGAAAGCCUGAUCCAGCCAUGCCGCGUGUGUGAAGAAGGUCUUCGGAUUGUAAAGCACUUUAAGUUGGGAGGAAGGGCAGUAAGUUAAUACCUUGCUGUUUUGACGUUACCAACAGAAUAAGCACCGGCUAACUUCGUGCCAGCAGCCGCAGUAAUAC